AUUAGAAUAGUUUAAUUAAAACAUUGAUUUGUGGUGUCAAAAAUAUGAAGAAAUUCAUUUUUAAUU
rnacentral:tRNA from 1 species